rnacentral:rRNA from 1 species
GCCGCGUGAGUGAUGAAGGCCCUCGGGUCGUAAAACUCUUUUCAAGAGGAAGAGGAAGGACGGUACUCUUGGAAUAAGCCUCGGCUAACUACGUGCCAGCAGCCGCGGUAACACGUAGGAGGCGAGCGUUAUUCGGAUUUACUGGGCGUAAAGCGCGUGUAGGCGGCUAUAUAAGUUGGAUGUGAAAGCUCCCGGCUUAACUGGGAGAGGACGUUCAAAACUAUAUAGCUUGAGUACGAGAGAGGAAAAUGGAAUUCCGGGUGUAGUGGUGAAAUGCGUAGAUAUCCGGAGGAACACCAGUGGCGAAGGCGAUUUUCUGGCUCGAGACUGACGCUCAGACGCGAAAGCUAGGGUAGCGAACGGGAUUAGAGACCCCGGUAGUCCUAGCUGUAAACGAUGUAGACUAGGCGUUGGUGGAGUAAAAUCCAUCAGUGCCGCAGCAAACGCGAUAAGUCUACCGCCUGGGGACUACGGCCGCAAGGUUAAAACUCAAAGGAAUU